ACGGAGCUUGCUCUGGUGGCGAGUGGCGAACGGGUGAGUAAUAUAUCGGAACGUACCCUGGAGUGGGGGAUAACGUAGCGAAAGUUACGCUAAUACCGCAUACGAUCUAAGGAUGAAAGUGGGGGAUUCGCAAGAACCUCAUGCUCGUGGAGCGGCCGAUAUCUGAUUAGCUAGUUGGUAGGGUAAAAGCCUACCAAGGCAUCGAUCAGUAGCUGGUCUGAGAGGACGACCAGCCACACUGGAACUGAGACACGGUCCAGACUCCUACGGGAGGCAGCAGUGGGGAAUUUUGGACAAUGGGCGCAAGCCUGAUCCAGCAAUGCCGCGUGAGUGAAGAAGGCCUUCGGGUUGUAAAGCUCUUUUGUCAGGGAAGAAACGGUGGGAGCUAAUAUCUUCUGCUAAUGACGGUACCUGAAGAAUAAGCACCGGCUAACUACGUGCCAGCAGCCGCGGUAAUACGUAGGGUGCAAGCGUUAAUCGGAAUUACUGGGCGUAAAGCGUGCGCAGGCGGUUUUGUAAGUCUGAUGUGAAAUCCCCGGGCUCAACCUGGGAAUUGCAUUGGAGACUGCAAGGCUAGAAUCUGGCAGAGGGGGGUAGAAUUCCACGUGUAGCAGUGAAAUGCGUAGAUAUGUGGAGGAACACCGAUGGCGAAGGCAGCCCCCUGGGUCAAGAUUGACGCUCAUGCACGAAAGCGUGGGGAGCAAACAGGAUUAGAUACCCUGGUAGUCCACGCCCUAAACGAUGUCUACUAGUUGUCGGGUCUUAAUUGACUUGGUAACGCAGCUAACGCGUGAAGUAGACCGCCUGGGGAGUACGGUCGCAAGAUUAAAACUCAAAGGAAUUGACGGGGACCCGCACAAGCGGUGGAUGAUGUGGAUUAAUUCGAUGCAACGCGAAAAACCUUACCUACCCUUGACAUGGCUGGAAUCCCUGAGAGAUCGGGGAGUGCUCGAAAGAGAACCAGUACACAGGUGCUGCAUGGCUGUCGUCAGCUCGUGUCGUGAGAUGUUGGGUUAAGUCCCGCAACGAGCGCAACCCUUGUCAUUAGUUGCUACGAAAGGGCACUCUAAUGAGACUGCCGGUGACAAACCGGAGGAAGGUGGGGAUGACGUCAAGUCCUCAUGGCCCUUAUGGGUAGGGCUUCACACGUCAUACAAUGGUACAUACAGAGCGCCGCCAACCCGCGAGGGGGAGCUAAUCGCAGAAAGUGUAUCGUAGUCCGGAUUGUAGUCUGCAACUCGACUGCAUGAAGUUGGAAUCGCUAGUAAUCGCGGAUCAGCAUGUCGCGGU
rnacentral:rRNA from 1 species